GAGCUCACCAUGGCCUGGACCCGUCUCCUCCUGGGCCUCCUGGCUCUCUGCUCAGGUGUCGUGGACUCCUAUGAGGUGACCCAGCCGGCGUCCCUGUCGGCGGCCCUGGGAUCCACGGUCAAACUCACCUGCCAGGGAGACAACAUUGGAAGAAAAUAUGCUUACUGGUACCAGCAGCAGCAGGGCCAGGCCCCUGUCACGGUCAUUUAUGAAGAUAACAAGCGGCCCUCGGGGAUCCCUGAGCGGUUCUCUGGCGCCAACUCAGGGAACACGGCCACGCUGACCAUCAGCGGGGUCCUGGCUGAGGACGAGGCCGACUACUACUGUGCUGCAGACAUCCCGGGGCUCCGUGGCAAAGGUUUGGGAGACUCGGCUGUCCACAACAACAGGACGUGCGCCCUCACCCCAUCCCGCCGUGGCGUGCAGGGCGAUCGCCCCAACCCGGGGCUCUACGUGCCAGAGGGAGCAGACAGG